rnacentral:rRNA from 1 species
AUGCAAGCUGCCCUCCGUAAGGUUGGGGAUGUGCCACGGGACCAGCUAGACGAGCAAGUCAAGCUCUGGGGAAACGAGGUCAGAGACCUUUCGUACAAAAUAGAGGAUAUCAUCGAUAAGUUCAUGGUGCAGGUCAUGGGCACCAAACCUGCCGUCAAGCCGCGCAAGCUCAAACGGCUCAAGAAGAAGAUGUGCGACUUGUUCACUGAGUUCAUGGCACGCCAUGCCAUCGGCGACGAUAUUAAAGAGAUCAAAGCCCGUGUCGAGAAGGUGGCUGCCCGCCGUGACCGGUACAAGGUCAAUGAUGUGGUUCCUAAUCUAGCUGGCCCACUCAUGGUUGACCCUCGACUAUCGGCUCUGUACAAGGACCGGAAAGAGCUUGUUGGCAUUGAUGAUUCGUUGAAUGAACUAACAAAGAAGCUGAGUAACGAGGACGGUGAUGUGUCCAAGCAACUCCAGAUACUCUCUGUUUUCGGAUUCGGAGGCCUUGGCAAGACAACCCUUGCCAAAGCAUUGUACGAUAAGUGCCAAGCACAGUUUGAUUGCAGUGCUUUUGUUCCAGUAGGACGGAACCCUAGCGUGAAGAAACUUCUCAAUGACAUACUCUUCGAAAUUGUUGGGCAAAAGAACUUGGAAUUGGUUGAAAGGGAGCUAAUCAACAAACUCCGAGGAUUACUCGAGAACAAAAGAUACUUCAUCAUUAUUGAUGACAUAUGGGAUAUAGAAACAUGGAAAAUAGUCAAGCUCGCUUUGGUGCGUAAUAAUUGUGGAAGCAAAAUAAUUACAACUACUCGUAUACUCGAAGUUGCCACAACGACCGGUGAAGUAUAUAGGUUACAACCACUUUCGCUGGAUUUAUCUGAGGAUCUGUUUCAUAGAAGAUUAUCUGGUGGCGAAAUAAAACGGCCUGAUCAUCUGCGAGCAGAGGUAGAUAAAGUUUUACAUAAAUGUGAUGGUGUACCAUUGGCUAUAAUCACAAUAGCUAGUUUGCUUGUCAGUAAACCUGUGGAGUUUUGGUCUAAGGUAUACACUUCAAUUGGUUUUGGGCAUGAAGAAAACAAAGAUGUGGAGAACACGAGAAAAAUACUUCUGUUUAGCUAUUAUGAUCUACCUUGUCACCUAAAGACUUGCUUAUUGUAUCUGAGCAUAUAUCCUGAAGAUCAUCUGAUUGAAAAAGAUAGUUUGAUAUGA